UACGGAGGGUGCGAGCGUUAUCCGGAAUUACUGGGUUUAAAGGGUGCGUAGGCGGCGCUGUAAGUCAGGAGUGAAAGUUUGCGGCUCAACCGUAAAAUUGCUUUUGAUACUGUGGUGCUGGAAUUAGGAUGAGGUCAGCGGAAUGUGGCAUGUAGCGGUGAAAUGCAUAGAUAUGCCAUAGAACACCAAUUGCGAAGGCAGCUGGCUAGACCUGGAUUGACGCUGAGGCACGAAAGCGUGGGGAGCGAACAGG
rnacentral:rRNA from 1 species